GAUGAACGCUGGCGGCGUGCCUAAUACAUGCAAGUCGAGCGAACAGACGAGGAGCUUGCUCCUCUGACGUUAGCGGCGGACGGGUGAGUAACACGUGGAUAACCUACCUAUAAGACUGGGAUAACUUCGGGAAACCGGAGCUAAUACCGGAUAAUAUAUUGAACCGCAUGGUUCAAUAGUGAAAGACGGUUUUGCUGUCACUUAUAGAUGGAUCCGCGCCGCAUUAGCUAGUUGGUAAGGUAACGGCUUAUCAAGGCGACGAUGCGUAUCCGAGCUGAGAGGGUGGUAGGCCACCCUGGAAGUGAGACGGGGUCCAGACUCCUACGGGAGGCAGCAGUAGGGAAUCUUCCGCAAUGGGCGAAAGCCUGACGGAGCAACCGCGCGUGAGUGAUGAAGGUCUUCGGAUCGUAAUACUCUGUUAUUAGGGAAGAACAAAUGUGUAAGUAACUAUGCACGUCUUGACGGUACCUAAUCAGAAAGCCACGGCUAACUACGUG
rnacentral:rRNA from 1 species